GUUUCGCUUCUGAGCUCCAGCUGUGGCAUCUACUGGCCCGGACUUGAGCUAGUCACUUUAUUUUCUGGGCUUCAGUUUCCUCACUGGACAAGUAGGAAAGUCAUGCCUGUCUGGCUUAACUAGAGGGCCUGUGGUGAGGCAUAAACUGAAGAAGAAAGUCAAACUAUUUGGUGAACUGUCAAGCUCAAAUGAGUCUAUACUCAGUGAACACCUGUAGGCCUUGGGGGUGUAGACCUUGAAGACAGAAAAACUGAUCAGGAGAUCCCUGCCAUGAAGCAGCAUAGAAAUCUCUGAAGGACAACAGGACAUCUGGAUCUUAUCUCCUUUCCUUCAUCCAUGGAAGGAUGUUAUUUAUAAGGUGUUUUACUGAGGAGGGUCCUCUGGAUAUACAGUCCCCAAAGGAGUUUCCCUCUUUAAGGAAGAAAGGAAAGUGUUUUCCUGGAUACCAGAUAUGCUGAGUUGGGACAGGAGCUAAGGACAGAGGUGAAGAAACCCGCAGACAACAGCGACAUGCUCCUCAUCUUUGAAUCCCAGUGAACCUUUCCACUGUGUGUGUGUGCUGGAAUGCAGUUGCUGAUCACCUGCAGGCUUGAACUCCAGGGAUCAAGCGAUCCUCCUACUUCAGCCUCCUGAGCAGCUAGGACUACAGCACAUUAUGUUCCUGAAAACCAGGAACUGCUUCCUCCUGUCUGACCCACUGCAGUGGUGGAGAGGCUCAAGGGAAAUAAUGAUCAUGGAUGUGCUUAGGAGGCAUAAGGUGAGGUACACCAUCAUGGAGCUGUCUCUGCUCUCCCUGUCCCUUCAGUGUGCGUGGUCCAUACCACUCAGUCAUUCCUUACCCACUCUACAGAUUUUACUGAGAAUUGCUGUGAGCUGGGCACCCUUCUACGCUCUGCAGACACCAUGGCUAGUAAGACAGGCAAAGACCUGCCACCUGGAGC